GUCUAUGGCCAUAUCAGCCUGAAUGCACCUGAUCUCUUUUAAUCUUGGAAACUAAGCAGGGUCAUGCAUGGUUAGUACUAGAAUGGGAAACACUUGAAGGAAAAAAAAAUGAAGACA
rnacentral:rRNA from 1 species